CUUGUCCAUGCGAAGAUUCUCUCCUUAAUUCAGCAUAAACCUGUGUGAGCUUGUCCAAGUCUGCAUCGUGUAAUUUUGGGAAUACGUUCAACUUUGCAUAAGUUAAGUACUUCUUUAGCAACUCUUGUGGAAUUAUCUCAGGAUCAGUUGCAGCCAUAGUGACACGAGCAUCAUCCCGUGAAUCAGUAAAUGACUUCUCAUCUAUAGUAGCACCUUUUGCUUGUGACCUAAAAUGACUAUCAACAACAAACUUUGCAAGCAUCUCAUCAGUGACUGGAUCAACCACAUCCUUGACCACACACAGCACAUCAAAUCGAGAAAUAAUUGGAUCUGUCAAUUCCACAUUUUGCGUGAAAUUCUUCGAGGAAUCAUAUCUUCCUCCAAUAGGAUUUGCAGCAGCAAUAACAGAACAGCGGGCCUGGAGAGAUGUGACAAUGCCAGCCUUUGAUAUGCUAAUACUCUGCUGUUCCAUUGCUUCAUGAAUACUCACUCUAUCCUGAUCAUUCAUCUUAUCGAACUCAUCAAUCAAACAUAUUCCUCUAUCAGCCAAAACUAGUGCUCCUCCUUCAAGGGUCCAUUCCCGAGUGACAGGGUCCUUGUGUACUGCUGCUGUAAGCCCAACAGCAGAAGCUCCUUUGCCAGUUGUAUAGACGGCUCGUUGUCCCGUCUUCUCGACAUACUUGAGGAACUGGGAUUUUGCAGUGCCUGGAUCACCUAGCAGGAGAAUAUUUAUGUCUCCUCUCAGUCUGUGUUUCCCUUCAACAUUUUUCUCUUGG
rnacentral:misc_RNA from 1 species